AAUUACGAGUUCCUUACUAUAAUUACAGAAAAUACAAAUACAGUUGUCAGCCCACUUUACAAACUUUAAUUCAAAUAGAGUAAACUUGAGCUGUCAGAAAUUCCCUUUAGUGACAUCACUUCCUCCAUUGUCUUUAUUAUUUCAUCACCUGUAAUUACUCACAGCAGAGUCACAUACUGUAGCACAGGGAAACAGCAUGAAUAAGAUUCUCCUAAGUUUCUCUGUCACAUUUAUGUGGCUCACAGCUUCCACUUUUGGUAACAUUGUUUACCAGACUCCUUCUAAAUCAGUAAAGGACCGAGACACAUCAGCUGUGUUCAUAUGUACACACAAUAUAGGAAGUUAUUUCCAAAUGAUGUGGUACAAACAGACCCAGGGCACUCUGGGAUUUAAACUAAUGGGAAACCUUAAUGGUGAAACUGAUCAAAUAGAAACAGAAUUUAAAAACAAGAUUUUUCUGAAUGGAAAUGGAAGGCGUAACGGCACUCUGACGAUUAAAAACCUCACAGUGGAUGACAGUGCAGUGUAUUUCUGUGCAGCAUAUGACACAGUGCUCUAAACUCCCACUGUCUAAUACAAAAACUUGGCACUGUUACAGUAAUGGUUUAUCAGCAAAAGAUCAAAGUGAGGUGAAUGAAUGAAGCAUUUACUUCAUUUACUGAAGCACUUUACUUCAAUGAAGCAUUUACAUAGAGCUGUAUUGUGUAUUGCUGUACACCGAAAGCGCUUUACAAUCAUAUCAUGGGAUCUCUCCUCACCCACCACCAGUGUACAGCAUCCACCUGGAUGAUGCGACGGCAGCCACAGUACAACGGCCCCAGUGCGCUCACCACACACAGGCUACAGGUGGAGAGGAGAGAGAGACAGAGCCAAUUCAGUGGAUAGGGAUUAUUAGGAAACCAUGACUGACAAGGGCCAGUGGAGGAAAUUUAGCCAGGACACCGGGGAUACACCACUACUUUUUAUGAGAAGUGCCAUGGGAUUUUUAAUGACCACAGAGAAUGAGCACCUCAGUUUAACAUCUCAUCCAAAGGAAGGGGAUUUUUACAGUAUUUUACAGAUUUAUACAUGAGGCUUGAAAGUAUCAUAAGGGCUUCAUUCGAUUCUCCGUAUUAAAUAAAUCUGAAUAUCACAUAUUUGUAUUAGAGAAAAAAAAAUCUUAAUAAAAACUAGGAGUAAUAAUAUACAUAUGUUCAUAUGGUAUUGUUAAUUACCUUUACAUCCUAUGAUGUCAUAUCCUGUUCAACAACAGCUAGAGUUUGAAUCAUUUCAAAGGUUGGGACUCACUCUCCCACCAAAACUCAACAUGACUAGGGCUAUUAUUACAUUGAUUCUGUUACUGCACUGCAGUCAAGCUACCGUGGGUGGAGAUGGUGUUGUUCAAGAGCCUAAAAUUCUUUGGGAAACAAAGAAUGGUUCUGCUUCUUUGAACUGCAGUCACAAUAAGGGUAGUUCAUACUACCAGAUGUACUGGUACAGACAGCGUCCAGGAGAG